GAAAAACUCUUUAUAAUAAACUCAGGCGCGCGUUUAUGACGUCAUGGGUUUAUAAAAGGCGCGGGCUUUCUUCGUCACGUCCUCUUUCCGUUGCUCUUCUCGUCCAGAGAAAACUCUCCACAGGAUGAGAGCCAAGUGGAGGAAGAAGCGUAUGCGCAGGCUGAAGCGUAAAAGGAGAAAGAUGAGGCAGAGGUCAAAGUAAGCUCUCCAUCUCCACCAGCUGCUGUCCCAUCGCCGCCUUGGGGUGACGGAUGAUCAGAGUGGACUCCCUCAAGUGUCCAUUGAUGAAAUGAAGAACCUCGUCCGUCUGAAUGAACUUCAGAAGAACCUGAUGUGGAUGUCUUGAGUUGAAGAAGGCAAAGAUGCUGGAAGAGGACGAAACAUCAAGUCUGCAGCUGCACCUGUUCAUGGACCAUUACACUUGUUUUCAUACAGCUGUCAUGUGGUGUACUGAACAAUAAAUGAACACUUCCAAGUUCACCGUUCA